UACGUAGGGCGCAAGCGUUAUCCGGAAUUAUUGGGCGUAAAGAGCUCGUAGGCGGCUUGUCGCGUCGACUGUGAAAACCCGAGGCUUAACCUCGGGCCUGCAGUCGAUACGGGCAGACUAGAGUUCGGUAGGGGAGACUGGAAUUCCCGGUGUAGCGGUGAAAUGCGCAGAUAUCGGGAAGAACACCCGUGGCGAAGGCGGCUCUCUGGAACGCAACUGACGCUGAGACGCGAAAGCGUGGGGAGCAAACAGG
rnacentral:rRNA from 1 species